UCCUGAAAAAGAGGAAUGAGCGCUCGGAUGGAAACCCUGGCACGCUCUGAAUGGCGAAGGGGAGACCGGCCUUGCGCCGGGCGCCUCAUGCUGAUUAUUUAAUUCCUCACCGCACUAGGGAGAAAUAUCUCAUCACCAUCGUCAUCUCCAUUUGCCGAGGCUCAGGCCAAAGAGCUCCAGUAAGGCGAGGAACCCCCGUGCUCACCCAGGUCGGUGUGACGCCAGAGCCCCAGGGUCUGAGGUCGGCCGUGUGGGGCCGUCCAAGCGAAGACGCCACCCCUCGGCUCAGCACUCUGCCCCUGCUCGGAGACGUGCUUGCAGAGCCCUUCCAUAAUAAACUCCGCUUGCUUGGAGCCUGGAGAACUCGCCUGCGUGCUCCAGGCCGGCUUGGUUUGACAAGGAUCUGCCACUCGGCAUAAUCCAAAGUCACCAGAUGCCUCCAACGUGGCGGAUCGUGUUCUAAGCUUACUCCAGCAGCAUUAGCUCUCUGGAUCUUCCCCACAGCACGAAGGAGGCGCCGCAACUACUUUCUUUCCACGUGACAGAACCGAGACUCAGGGCUGUGGUGGCACACUGGCUGAGAACUGGUGCCGUCUGCCCCGGCUCCGAGUGUGCAGCUCUACCAUCCAGAACAUACCGACCACAGCAGUCCACUUGAGGGAAGUCCCUCAACGGACACUCCCAAAGCCCUCAGCUGUGUGGAACAUGGGUGGGGCUAUAAACACCACCCCCACCUGCAACCUGAGUGACCCAGUCCAAAGGCAGCAUCCUAUAUUGCAUCUGUUAGAGAAUGCUACAGCGUGGGUGACUGGCAAGGCACAGCCGAUAAAAGACCAGGAACACCAUUGUGGGCUCAGCCCAGGUCGCUCCUCCCCUGUUUAUUCCUGGGGUUCUUUCUGCCUUGGGUCUCAGCCCCCACAGUCCACGGUUCUUUACUGCCAGGAUAAUCUUUUUUUUUUUUUUUUUUUUUUUUGCAACAAAUGAGAAGUCUUUUAACUAGAAAUGUGGUGGGUAAUUUCAAUGACUUUUCUUUAAGGGAUGCAAAUUAUUCUCAGAGUCCACAGCCACCAUCCGCCUCAGGGGGCAGCCUGUUUCACAGCAGAGAAGCUUGGGCUUGUGCACUGAGAAACCCAGAGAAAUCAACAGUCACAGCCCGCCUCUCCGCCUGAAUCAGAUGAAAGGUAAGCUAGUAUUUUAUGCACCCAGGCAUGCCUUCUCCCACUGCAGACUCACAGGCAGUUGUAGGAAAUGAACACACGGCGAUCCCAUAUACCCUUUGCCCUGCUUCCCCCAUGGUGACGUAGGAUGGCACCACACCCAGGCUACCCACACUCAAUCUGAGCCCGUCUGAUGCAGGUGUCCUGCUUUACUUGUUUUCAUCCCAGCAUGAGCUCUGUAUAACGCAGAUCCGACCACAUCACGCCCUUAGUUACAAUUUUCAGCAGCUUGGCACCACCGCCUUCUCGCCAGAGUCCCGAAGGCCGACCACCUUCCCAUCCUCACGCCCCCAAGCGUUGUGCUCUGCAGUUCCGACAGUCUACUUGCCAUUCUUCAGGUAAGAUGUGCCACUUUCUGUGGCUAAUGGUGUAUGUGUGUGCCCCCCCCAACACACACACACACACACACACACACACACACACACACACACAGAGCACUCAUUGCUAACCAUGCCUGCAGCUUUAGGAGCUGUGCUCUGGAUCCCCAAGUGCCCAAGCAAACCUUUAAUAAAAAGCUCAUCACACCAAUAUUAACAACGUCUUCACCUGCGCCCCCGCCCCACCUCUCCGGGGGCUUCUAGAACCACACCAAGCCCUGCUCAUCCUGUACCCUCACUGCCCGGCACGCUACCCAGCAUGGUAGGCCCACAGUCAGGACCGUGAGUAAACAAAAAGGAAGCCGUACAUGGGUGAUGGAGGAAGGAAAGGCAGGCCCCACGGCCAUGGAACGAAGGAUGGGCAGAAUCGUGAAGGAGUGAGGGCAGAGGGGCCGCUUGCGAGUAUGCUCACACCUUUCAGGUGGAUUGUGUGCCGGGAUCAGUACGCCAUCAGGGGCUAGGUGGAAAGAGCAGUAGACGUGGCAAACUCCAGCCCCAAGCUUUAGUUCCACUUACCAUCUCACAGGCAAGCCGCUCAGCCCAGUGCCCUCAUCUACCAUGUGUCACAGUACAAUAUGCCUCGGAGGGGUUUAAAUAGGGACUGGACAUAAUACAGACCCAAUAAUCGUACUAGCACAGGGCAAGUGAGCAGUGAACGCGGAGGGACACAUCAGCUGUAAGCCUAAGUAAUUCACUGUGUAAGCCACAGCUUUUCAUUUAUGGGUGAUUUUUCUCCCUCUUAUCCUCUGGGUUGACUAUAUAGAAUGACUUCAAAGCAGUUCGAGAAUAAAUUUUCAGCCUAUUAAGGCAAUCACGGGAGAAUAUGUUCUGGUCAAACAGUUCCAUAUAUGCCACAUAUACCCCAACAAUUUUCGAAGAAUUACAAAAACCAAACCAAACAAAAAAAACCUUAAUUUUGAAACCGGCCUGUCCACAAUUCCAUCUUCCUGUGAUGAUUCAGAAGACAUUACAGGGCUUCCCAACGAACGCCUCCGGGGCUAUGAGAGCAAACAGCUAUAAUCACACAGCAUAGGCCGUUUCGCUGGACAGACUUCCAGCCAGUCGAACCCGAGAUAAACUGGACUUUACCUAAAUGGAAAUUUAUCGCUAAACACACAAUUUAUCAGACUAGGGAAAAACUACAUUGUCACAAUACUCCUCUUCAGUAUCAGGUUUUCUUCUCAAUCUGGAUAAGACAUAAUGCUUGAUAAGGUGCGUGAACUGCUUCCCUGAGACUAUCUUCUCCCUGCUCGCCAAAAUGAGGUUCCUGGAGCCUACCGAACACACUCCAGAAACUCCGGACAGAAUGAUGAGCUUCCCAGUCCAAAUCUGCCUCUGUCCAAUUCAGACUCCAGUUUUAUCAAGCAAGGUUGACUGAGCCCCUAUCCUGUGAAGGCCACAGAAAGUAAGGCACAUCCCUGCCUUUUCACAGGCUCAUGACCUGGCUACAGCAGAGAGGCCUGGGGAGGGGCCAGGCUCACACAUGACAGCUACAGCCCCAGGGAAGCCAGCACGUGCCACAUCACAGACAGGGGAGAAUGUGGGAAAGAGCCAAAGGAUGAAGAGUCGCCCAGGCUGGCGGGAAGAAGCAGCCUGAAGCUCAGGCCGACAAAGCGUUCCGGGGAACGGACACCACAUGCUCCCUCUGCCCUCUCUGAGCUGAGAAAUCAGAAGUGUCUACUGUGCUUGGGGAAAAGUAAGCUGGAUUCCAAGCACUGAGACUGUGAAAGAAUCACGUGAAGAAAGUGCACCGUGUCCAUUUGUAUUCUCAUUAAAAUGGGAUUUUCCUGCCCUUAAACAGGAGCUUGGACCUGAAACCAAACCCUUGGGAAGGUACUACUUGAUAUUCUUGGGCCCUGACUGAAUUCCAUUAACUACUGACGGCCAUUAAAUAAACCAAUGAAACGCUGGCAGCCAUCAGUACAGGAGAACAGGGCAGACUCAGCUGAAACCCAUCCUCUGUGAUCGCCCCCCAGGCUCGUUCCCCCUCUUCAGCUCUGGAUGCACUGCUGUCCUGUAUUUGGGCAAUCUUCCUAUUCGUGUUUAUGAACUCUCACCACAUAGGAGUAGAUCUGUAAACAGUAUGUAGCACCACUUUUUAAAAAAUUUGUUUUAUUUAUUUAUUUAUUGAGAGAAAGGAAAGGAGAGGAGGGGAG